AUUGAACGCUGGCGGCAGGCUUAACGCAUGCAAGUCGAACGAGUGGCGGACGGGUGAGAAAUGCUUGGGAAUCUGGCUUAUGGAGGGGGAUAACUACGGGAAACUGUCGCUAAUACCGCCUACCAUAGGAUGAGCACAAGUGGGAUUAGGUAGUUGUGGAGGUAAAGGCUCAUCAAGCCGAAGAUCUCUAGCUGGUCUGAGAGGAUGACCAGCCACACUGGGACUGAGACACGGCCCAGACUCCUACGGGAGGCAGCAUUGGGGAAUAUUGCGCUAUGGGUGCAACUGGACGCAGCCAUGCCGCGUGAAUGAAGAAGGCCUUCGGGUUGUAAAGUUCUUUCUGUAGCGAGGCGUUAACUACAGAAGAAGCACCGACUAACUCCGUGCCAGCAGCCGCGGUAAUUC
rnacentral:rRNA from 1 species